rnacentral:rRNA from 1 species
AACGAACGCUGGCGGCAUGCCUAACACAUGCAAGUCGAACGAGACCUUCGGGUCUGGUGGCGCACGGGUGCGUAACGCGUGGGAACCUGCCCUUAGGUUCGGAAUAACUCCCCGAAAGGGGUGCUAAUACCGGAUAAUGUCUUCGGACCAAAGAUUUAUCGCCUUUGGAUGGGCCCGCGUUGGAUUAGCUAGUUGGUAGGGUAAAAGCCUACCAAGGCGACGAUCCAUAGCUGGUCUGAGAGGAUGAUCAGCCACACUGGGACUGAGACACGGCCCAGACUCCUACGGGAGGCAGCAGUGGGGAAUAUUGGACAAUGGGCGAAAGCCUGAUCCAGCAAUGCCGCGUGAGUGAUGAAGGCCUUAGGGUUGUAAAGCUCUUUUACCCGGGAUGAUAAUGACAGUACCGGGAGAAUAAGCUCCGGCUAACUCCGU